GGCCUAUUAGCUCAGAUGGUUAGAGCGUCGUGCUAAUAACGCGAAGAUCGUAGGUUCGACUCUUGCAUAGGCCA